AUUGCUUCUUUUGGUGAAGAUCAAGUGCAGUAUCUGUUCUUAUCAGUUUAAUAUCUGAUAUGUCCUCUAUCUGAGGACAAUAUAUUAAAUAGAUUUUUGGAGCUGGGAGUUAGACUAGGAGCUUGCUUCAUCUACUUCAUGUAUCCACCUAGUAUUGCAAUACCAAUAUAAAGGUAUAAAAAAG